AGUGAACGCUGGCGGUAGGCCUAACACAUGCAAGUCGAACGGCAGCACAGUAAGAGCUUGCUCUUACGGGUGGCGAGUGGCGGACGGGUGAGGAAUACAUCGGAAUCUACUUUUUCGUGGGGGAUAACGUAGGGAAACUUACGCUAAUACCGCAUACGACCUACGGGUGAAAGCAGGGGAUCUUCGGACCUUGCGCGCUUGAAUGGGCCGAUGUCGGAUUAGCUAGUUGGCGGGGUAAAGGCCCACCAAGGCGACGAUCCGUAGCUGGUCUGAGAGGAUGAUCAGCCACACUGGAACUGAGACACGGUCCAGACUCCUACGGGAGGCAGCAGUGGGGAAUAUUGGACAAUGGGCGCAAGCCUGAUCCAGCCAUACCGCGUGGGUGAAGAAGGCCUUCGGGUUGUAAAGCCCUUUUGUUGGGAAAGAAAAGCAGCAGGUUAAUACCCCGCUGCUCUGACGGUACCCAAAGAAUAAGCACCGGCUAACUUCGUG
rnacentral:rRNA from 1 species